rnacentral:lncRNA from 1 species
AAUAGUUGAUUAGUACGUUAUCUAUAUAUAUAUAUAUAUAGAGAGAGAGAGAGAGAGAGAGUUCGGCUACUAUAUUUUUAUGAGUCACAAAAUAGUUGAUUAGUACGUUAUAUAUAUAUAUAUAUAUAGAGAGAGAGAGAGAGAGAGAGAGAGAGAGAGAGAGAGAGAGUUCGGAUACUAUACUUUUAUGAAUACGAUCAUCUUUGUACUCAUAAGUUAUCUUUGAUGAUAGAACUUUCGAAUCAACGUUCUAUACUUAUCCAGAACAUUUAAAACUUUUAAAAAUCAAAUUUCAUAAUUUUUCGACAUUAUUUACCUUACGAUCAAAAUAUCACAAAAUUGAUAAUUUUUAAUGGCAAGUAUGGAAUACUUACUUGUUUAACGGUGUAAAAGAAUCGGAAUUGAUUGAAUUUUUGAUACAAAAUUAUAUUAACUAUCUAGAUAAAGAUCAGUAACUCCGAUCUUAAAUUGAAGGAUCCGAUCAUUCAGUUUUAGGAUGUCGUUCGAUUCUGACCAUUCAUUUUAUGCCUGCUUUAUGGACUUUAUUAUGUUUUCGAAAAACUACGAAAUUUAUUUUUUAGAAGUUUUAAAUAGUAUAGAUCAUAUUUAACGGAGUGGAUCGUUGAUUCGGAAGUUCCAUCAUCAAAAAUAACUUAUGAGUACGAAAGACUCUACGAAGGGCGCGCUCUAUACUCAUAAGAGUAUAAUAGCCUACUCUCUAUAUAUAUAUAUAUAGAGAGUUCGGCUGGGAUACUAUCGAUAGCACGAAAUAUUUUGUGCUAUCAAGUUUUCUGUCGUUAAAUUUACCUCUUUUAUCAUUUUCAUCUGUUCAAUUAUACUAUUCAACCAACCACCCACUCAACUCUAGAAGGCCCACAUCAUCCUAACCGCACAUCUUUUAAUCCAAGGGUGAAAAUCUUAAUCGCAACAAGUUAUUGGUGCUAUUAAUAGUAUUCCAGCCUAGUUCAUAUGUAUAUAUAUAUAUGAAACAACUUAGUUUACUAUUGAUUUGUUUUUUUUAUAAUAGAGCUUUCAAAUCGACGAUCGGCACUGUUUAAUAUGAUGUAGAUCAUUUAAACUAUUUAGAAAUCAAAUUUCAUGCUUUUUUUAUAUCACUAACCGGGCGAUCAAAGGGUCGCAAAAUUUAUAAUUUUGAUGGCCGAUAUAGUGCGUUUGCUCAUUUAAUAUUACAGAAGAGUUCAAAUCAAUUAAAUUUUUGUUAAAAAAUUCUUUAAACUAUUAAAAACAAGAUCUAGAAUGUAGAUCUUAAAUAUAAAAAUUUUACCAUCGAUCACUUUUUAAACUAUAUUCAUUUUUACUCAUUUAUUUUUUGUUCACUUAAUGGACAAGAAAAUUAAUAAUAUUGAAAAAACGUGAAAUUUGAUAUCCAGAUAGUUCAAAUGGUUUAGAUCAUGUUUAACAGUGCCGAUGGUCAAUUUGGAAGCUCUAUCAUCGAAAAAAAAUUCAUAGUAAAUCGAGUUAUUUACUAUCAAUAGUAUUCUAUCAAAACUCUCUCUCUUUAAAUAUAUAUAGUAUAGAGCUACUAUACUAUCAGAAGUAUAGAGGGUCCGGUGCUUUCGACUUUUUGAUUCUUAGAUCAAGAACUGUACGUUUGGGAUGAUUGUGGUCUCUCUAUAAUUGAGUAGUAUCCCUAGGAUUGAGUGGUCCUCACAGAGUAAUAGUAUUAAUAAAAAAAUUAGAAAUAAUCAAAAAAAUUAUUCUAAUAGUCAAAAAAUCGGAAGUACUAAAUUCUCUAUGUAUGCUUCCGAUAGUACUGUAGCGCUCUCUCUCUCUCUCUCUAUAUAUAUAUAUAUAGAGAGUUCGGCUGGGAUACUAUCGAUAGCACGAAAUAUUUUGUGCUAUCAAGUUUUCUGUCGUUAAAUUUACCUCUUUUAUCAUUUUCAUCUGUUCAAUUAUACUAUUCAACCAACCACCCACUCAACUCUAGAAGGCCCACAUCAUCCUAACCGCACAUCUUUUAAUCCAAGGGUGAAAAUCUUAAUCGCAACAAGUUAUUGGUGCUAUUAAUAGUAUUCCAGCCUAGUUCAUAUGUAUAUAUAUAUAUGAAACAACUUAGUUUACUAUUGAUUUGUUUUUUUUAUAAUAGAGCUUUCAAAUCGACGAUCGGCACUGUUUAAUAUGAUGUAGAUCAUUUAAACUAUUUAGAAAUCAAAUUUCAUGCUUUUUUUAUAUCACUAACCGGGCGAUCAAAGGGUCGCAAAAUUUAUAAUUUUGAUGGCCGAUAUAGUGCGUUUGCUCAUUUAAUAUUACAGAAGAGUUCAAAUCAAUUAAAUUUUUGUUAAAAAAUUCUUUAAACUAUUAAAAACAAGAUCUAGAAUGUAGAUCUUAAAUAUAAAAAUUUUACCAUCGAUCACUUUUUAAACUAUAUUCAUUUUUACUCAUUUAUUUUUUGUUCACUUAAUGGACAAGAAAAUUAAUAAUAUU